rnacentral:other from 1 species
UGUCUCCUGCCUCGUACGAAACGUUCAGGGUUAUUUCUUGAGCCUAAUUAUCAACCUCGGAGGCAAUCGUCGGAUGAUGGUGUGCAUACCCACCCUUGGCGGGAAGCCUGAUUCAUCAACGACGCUUCCACCUGAACCAACUGGUUCAAGGGAAAACGUGCGUUACGGCGCUGGCGGGAGAUGC